rnacentral:rRNA from 1 species
GAUGAACGCUGGCGGCGUGCCUAAUACAUGCAAGUCGAGCGGACAGACGAGGAGCUUGCUCCUCUGACGUUAGCGGUGGACGGGUGAGUAACACGUGGAUAACCUACCUAUAAGACUGGGAUAACUUCGGGAAACCGGAGCUAAUACCGGAUAACAUGUUGAACCGCAUGGUUCAACAGUGAAAGACGGUCUUGCUGGCACUUAUAGAUGGAUCCGCGCCGCAUUAGCUAGUUGGUAAGGUAACGGCUUACCAAGGCAACGAUGCGUAGCCGACCUGAGAGGGUGAUCGGCCACACUGGAACUGAGACACGGUCCAGACUCCUACGGGAGGCAGCAGUAGGGAAUCUUCCGCAAUGGGCGAAAGCCUGACGGAGCAACGCCGCGUGAGUGAAGAAGGUCUUCGGAUCGUAAAACUCUGUUAUUAGGGAAGAACAAAUGUGUAAGUAACUAUGCACGUCUUGACGGUACCUAAUCAGAAAGCCACGGCUAACUACGUGCCAGCAGCCGCUGUAA